GAAAUUACUCACUGAGUGAGAAGUGUUCUCAGUUCAGCAAAUCAACCAUCAUUGCAAGGUGCAUCCAGGAGUAAAGCUUGAAAGUUAGCUUAUUCCUAAGCCAGGAGAACAUUGUGAUCUUCUUCGUCAAGUCAACAGACAGUUCAUGCCUAGUGGACAAAUGCUACAGCCGAUGAAGCUGAUGGUGAUUACUACUGAUAAGGAAAGAGAUUGAAGGAAAUCCAGAAGGUGGCUAAGCAAAGUGGAUAUUUUGUAGUUAUGACCUAAGUUUAUGAUGGAAAGCAAAGAAGAGAAAUGGGUGUUUACUGACUGUCUACUAAAUCCAAGGCUAACGAGGACUGUGCAGUGUGGACCCUGACAGCCUCGGGAGUUUUGACCACUGUCUCUGAGUUCCAACAUUAUGAAAUAUGAAGCACUAAAAUGAGUGACAUCCAUGCUGCUGUUUCAAGCCUUCUGUGAUCUUGAAGGGGAACCUCUGUUUGCAGAACUGCGUUUAAGCUGAAGGAAAUGGGAAGGGAUUUAUUUCAACAAGAAGGAAUCUCUUGGAAAGUUGCCUAUUGACUUAUCUAUCCAUCUAUAACCAAGAUAGGAUCCAUUUGAGGACUAUGGCCUGAAAAGUAUGAUGUGAGAGCUAUAAGUGCUAUAAUUUCUACAAGCAGCUCUGUUGUGGCCAUCCUAGCAUGUCAGCAGAAACAAACCUGUGAGCUCAGAUAAACUUAGAGAAAAGUCUCGUGAAGACUUUCCCUCUACCAGGACUGAACUUCUGAAGUCGCUAUAAGUGGCCACCAACAUGCUAAUGAAACAGAUAUUUGAAUGAUAACAAAUAGAAUAAGGUGAACUUGAUACUUAACUACAACCUGUUGAAACCGUAUCAUGCAAAAUAUAUAACUCAUCAAAUGUGGAAACCUAAACAAAUAAAACGCGACUCAUCAAAGCGUUUCCUUUUGUGCUUGAGAACCCACAAAGCCUUGACGUGUACCUGUGAAUUCCAAGGCAAUACGUGCUCACACUCAUGCAGAAGAUGAAACAAAAAGUCAAUCUCAUAGGAGCUGAAGAAUGGUCAUCUUUUGACAAUGUUUUGGGAUCCAUCUUUUUUUCUCCAUUGAUUUUUUUUUCUGCAGAGGGUAGAGCUACAUUUUUUUUAGUAAAGUGCUAAUAAACAAAACAAAUUAUCAAAUAUUGACCUCUUCUGUAGCUUUCAAGUGAUGUUGUAGUUGUAUGUCUAGCCAACUCCGUCCUUGGAUCCAAGACUACUCCAUGAGAGUGUGUUCAUGGCUUCUCUUCUGGGAAGAGGACUUGUCUGGGCAGGACAUGCUGGGACAAGCAGAUAUAUCCUUUCAGCUGAAAUAAUGAAGAAAGCCUAAGGCAAGAGAUUGAAAGAUAUGGUCUAAUGUACAAGGCAUCCUUCCUCUUUGUUGUGUUAGAUGAUCUUACUAAUAGACUAAUCUGGGAAAAUCAUUCGCAGGUUUUUAUGGGGUCUGAAUGCUAUUACAAGGAUGAAAGCAAUUUCCAAACCAUAAAAGACUCUAAAGGUAAAAGAUGUCAUUGUUUAAGCUUACAAUUUACACAUGAAGUCUUUUAGUUCUUUCAUUUUUUUUUUUUUACAAUGUCUGCCGCACGAGUAGCAUGGGAAAUGCUCAGAAAUUGCUGAGAAAAAAAAUGAAUGAAUGCUUGGGGUCACCUAUCUCCUCCCUAUGUACCACUCUUAAGAAAUUCAUUGACAAAAGAAUGCCAACUGUGCUUGUUUGCUGUGGGAUAUUGGACAGAUAAUACAAGCAGGAGUGAUUUAAGUGAGGGUCACAUUGAAGAAUUCAAAUGGGACUCAACAGUGAGAACGGUCGCAGAGGACAUUGAAUCACAUCCCCUCUGCAGAGUUUAAAGAGAUUGGAUUCUGUUCUCUUUGGAGCAAUUGAAGUCUAAUCUUGAUGAACUUGAAGAUCUCUCAGCAUCUUUUCUAUCCCUUUAAUCUUGGGAUUAAAAUGAACCUGAAAUCUUUAGUGCCUGGGGAAGCAAUUGAUGUUCUCUGUAUGAGUUUAGAUAACACUGAGUAAGGAACCAGUAUGUAGCUUGGCUGCUUCUCAUUUGGCUACUUUUAAGUAUAUUUACAGUAAGCAUUGCUGAUGUACAAUUUUUUUUAAAAAAAAAUCUUAAAACAUGUUGUGGACCUUUUUGCUUCCAGUGAAUCUUGCUGAUGGCAUACAUUCUCUUACUCAGGAUUCUUUGGUGUGAGUCAUAAUGAUAAAGUGUGACUUAGAGUCCUAUGAUUCACUUCAAGAUGGCUCUUAUUAUUUACAGAAUAAUGCAGAUGAAUCACUUCGGGUAUUUCAAAGGCCUUACAUAAAUACACAAAUAAUACAUCCCAGUUUCUGACCAUUGCAGCUUUUACAAUGAUGGUAACAUACAAAGAAAUUAUGGCAUCACCAUAAAUUUCUUUCAUGGUCUUCCAAGCCAGGUGGCUCUUCCUCUUACAAAUGUCUUCAGAUGAGGACAAGGCAGUCCCUUUCACUAGUCUGGAACUUUAUCCAUGCAUGGAUCAUGCAUGCAUGAAGGGAUUUAUUUACUUAUGAACCUUUAAUGGUAGUACGAUGGCCUCACACACGAUGGAGUGGCUGCUAUGAAAAAGACAAAAGAUACUGAGUGCUGGUAAGGAUGUGGAGCAAUCCAAAAAUUUGCUGUGCUGUUGUUAGGAAUGUGAAUUAACAUUGCUACCGUGGGAAACUGUUUGGCAGUUCCUUAAACUAGAAAAAGAACUAUCAUGUGAUCCAGCAAUCCCACUACUUGGUGUAUAUGGAAACAAAUGAAGUCAAUAUCCUGAAGAGACAUCUGUGUUUCCACAUUCAUGCUGUGGUGAUCACAAUUGCCAAGGUAUGGAAUCUAGCGAUGCUGUAUUAUCUUUGGGAGGUGGAGGACAUUGCAACUGUGUCCCUGGAACUUUCUUUCCCAUUUCCAGUGCUGUAGCUGGGUCACAAGAAGCAUGAAAGGGGGCCAGGAGAGGACUACCUUGACAGGUGUUAUCUGAAUGAACACGGACUUCCCUCAUGUUCGGUGGGAUAAAGCAAAGUAGUGUUUUAUGUAUAAGGGGAAAAUAAAAUCUGCCUUUGUGAUUGGUCCUUGGGAUGCUGGCCAAACAGUGGAAUGAUGUCAGUCAAUGCUGAAAACUCCUUAGACUGUAAACAACAUGGUGAGUGGGUACAGAGAACAGUGGACUGGAUAGAAAUGCUUUAUGUUUACCUGGCUUCUAGGGGACAGUUCCAGUCAGUAACUUUUAAUAAGUCUUAUGUCUAGUAUGCUAUCUUUGAGUAUUUUCUGUGAUUUCUUGGUAACUUACUCCACCAUCGCUGUAGACAGAACAUAUAUGUACAUCUAUGGAUGAAUCAAUAAAGAAAACAUUAUUCAGACUUUACAAAGAACAUUCUUACUUUUAUAACAGAUUGUAUGGAACUACAGGAUAUUGUACUAAGCAAAG